GCCAGACUCCUACGGGAGGCAGCAGUGAGGAAUAUUGGUCAAUGGGCGGGAGCCUGAACCAGCCAAGUCGCGUGAGGGAAGAAGGUACUGAGUAUUGUAAACCUCUUUUGCCACGGGAACAAGGCGGCCACGGGUGGCCGUACGAGGGUACCUGGAGAACAAGACUCGGCUAACUCCGUCCAAGACGACGCGGUCAUAACCAGGAUGACCCCGUUAUCCGGAUUUAUUGGGUUUAAAGGGUGCGCAGGCGGCGUGUCAAGUCAGCGGUAAAAUGUGUGGGCUCAACCCCGGCCGGCCGUUGAAACUGGCGUGCUCGAGUUGGAGAGAAUGAUGCGGAAUUCGUGGUGUAGCGGUGAAGUGCAUAGAUAUCACGAAGAACCCCGAUUGCGAAGGCAGCAUACCGGCUCCACACUGACGCUGAGGCACGAAAGCGUGGGUAUCGAACAGGAUUAGAUACCCUCGUAAA
rnacentral:rRNA from 1 species